rnacentral:lncRNA from 1 species
GUGUGUAAAGAAAGUGAGAGGGAGGAUGAAGAUAUGGAGUGAAUGAAGAGGAAGAGGGGUGCUUGUAUUUAUAGUUGAAAUCCUGCCGACGGACCGAGGAAAUUCCGACGGAAUUCCGAUGCAAACGGCUAGUUCGUCGGAAUUUCCUCGGAAUUUUUAAAAUCCCCCAACGGCUCUCCAACGGCUCUCUAACGUCUAUAAUAUUUCCUCGGAAUUCAUCGGUUUUUUCUGAGGAAUA